UCCGGUGGCCGUAAGUGUCCCGCUGGUGUUUGCCGGAGAGCCAGCUUGCAGCCUUGCAGCCAGUGUGCCGGGUAGGCUGACCUUCUGCAUAACCUCUGCCUGCAUUUUUGUAUUGCUUGUGUUUUGCAGAUUCCGGCUUUGUAAUGGCUGGUGCAAACGAGUCGCAGUUUCAAGGGCUCUCUAAAUACUUCAACACUGUUACCAAAACGGGCCGCGCCAACAUUGCCAAGAGCACAUACUUAGUACUGGGAACCAUAGGUUUUCUUUUCUGGGCGAAGAAAAAGUCCAGUGGUGGAUCUGCGAAGUAGAUGCCUUAGGACAAGCCGCAAGAAAGGGUGCGGGACAUCGGGCCCCCUCGCUGCCACCGUUCACGCGAGCAUGCAUGUGAAACCAUUUGUGCAUUAAAU